rnacentral:rRNA from 1 species
GACGAACGCUGGCGGCGUGCUUAACACAUGCAAGUCGAACGAAGAGCGAUGGAAGCUUGCUUCUAUCAAUCUUAGUGGCGAACGGGUGAGUAACGCGUAAUCAACCUGCCCUUCAGAGGGGGACAACAGUUGGAAACGACUGCUAAUACCGCAUACGAUCUAACCUCGGCAUCGAGGAAAGAUGAAAGGUGGCCUCUAUGUAUAAGCUAUCACUGAAGGAGGGGAUUGCGUCUGAUUAGCUAGUUGGAGGGGUAACGGCCCACCAAGGCGAUGAUCAGUAGCCGGUCUGAGAGGAUGACAGGCCACAUUGGGACUGAGACACGGCCCAGACUCAUACGGGAGGCAGCAGUGGGGAAUCUUCCGCAAUGGACGAAAGUCUGACGGAGCAACGCCGCGUGAGUGAUGACGGCCUUCGGGUUGUAAAGCUCUGUUAAUCGGGACGAAAGGCCUUCUUGCGAAUAGUGAGAAGGAUUGACGGUACCGGAAUAGAAAGCCACGGCUAACUACGUG